AUCGCGUCCGUUAAUCUGCACCAGCGUCCCCCUCUCCAUCCGGCGUUGGUGAAGCCGCGCGUCGGGGAGAGGGGCGGAAUCGGCGACAAGGAGAUGGCCGGCGGUGGCGCCGCCGCGUCGGCGCUUUCAAGCCCGUGGAGGACGCUGCUGCAGCGAGCGCUGGACGCCAACGCCCACCUCAGGCACUCCACCUUCUUCCAACUCGCAACGGUGGGCGCCUGCGGCAGGCCGGCGAACCGCACCGUCGUGUUCAGAGGGUUUCAGGAACACUGUGAUAAGAUUCAGAUUAAUACGGACGCCCGAAGCAACAAGAUUGGUGAGAUCAAGAGCUGCCCCUUUGGUGAGAUUUGUUGGUACUUCACAGAUAGCUGGGAGCAAUUUCGUAUCAGUGGCAGCAUAGAUGUGAUUGAUGCUUCUAGUGCAGACCCUGCCAAGCUCCAGUACAGGGAGAAAGCAUGGUUUUCAAGUUCAGUGAAGUCGAGAUUGCAGUACUUAGGACCACAGCCAGGCAUUCCGGUUCUAGAUGAUGAGCACGUUAAGGGUGUUCAUCUCGAUCCAUUAGCUGGCCCAGUAGAUGCCUUUUGCCUUCUGGUUCUUGAUCCGGAAAAGGUUGAUUAUUUGAACCUGAAAAGCAAUCAAAGGUUGAUGUUUACAAGACAAAAUGAUGAUGGAUCCAACGAUUGGAUGGCAGUAAAAGUUAGCCCUUAAGCUGCUGCAAAAAACAUUAUUCAUGAACUUCUCUUGGUACAUUUUAAUAUUGGCAUCUAACACUAUUGAUAAAGUUAUCUGUGUGAGCAGAAUGCAGAAACAGCAUUUGUCGGCUUUAAUAAACUACCAGCAUAUGGGAAGCAUUAAAGCUGUGUCUACACUUGCAACGAUGUGAUGAGCUCAAGCCGAUGGAUGGUUGGAGAACUUCAGGUCAGCUUGGCAAGUCAUGAAUGUGGCCUUCGAAAUCAAAGCUGAUUGCUCUUAUCCUGCAAAAGCCCCCAGGCAGACACACCACAUGAUCUGCCCUUUCUCUCUAACAGUGCAGAGCAAUAAACAUCUACUGAUUACCGAAAGAACCAUGUGGCUGCAGUGGCCAGUGGGCUCAGAUCAGUGUCUGAUUAUGAACAGUUUCAGAUAAAAAUGUGCUAAUAGCAUUAUGUCA